CCUACGGGAGGCAGCAGUGGGGAAUUUUGGACAAUGGGGGCAACCCUGAUCCAGCCAUUCCGCGUGAGUGAAGAAGGCCUUCGGGUUGUAAAGCUCUUUCGCAAGGGAAGAAAACUUAUGAUCGAAUAAAUCAUGAGGUUGACGGUACCUUGAUAAGAAGCACCGGCUAACUACGUGCCAGCAGCCGCGGUAAUACGUAGGGUGCGAGCGUUAAUCGGAAUUACUGGGCGUAAAGCGUGCGCAGGCGGUUUUGUAAGUCGGAUGUGAAAUCCCCGGGCUCAACCUGGGAACUGCGUUCGAAACUGCAAGGCUAGAGUGUGUCAGAGGGGGGUAGAAUUCCACGUGUAGCAGUGAAAUGCGUAGAGAUGUGGAGGAAUACCAAUGGCGAAGGCAGCCCCCUGGGAUAACACUGACGCUCAUGCACGAAAGCGUGGGGAGCAAACAGGAUUAGAUACCCUGGUAGUCCACGCCCUAAACGAUGUCAACUAGUUGUUGGUAGAGUAAAAUCUAUGAGUAACGUAGCUAACGCGUGAAGUUGACCGCCUGGGGAGUACGGUCGCAAGAUUAAAACUCAAAUGAAUUGACGG
rnacentral:rRNA from 2 species